ensembl:rRNA 5S_rRNA 5S ribosomal RNA
UUCUAUGGCCAUGUCACCCCGAACAUGUCCAAUCUUAGAAGCUAAGCAGGGUUGGGCCUGGUUAGUUGAUUGGGAGACAGUCUGGAAAUACUGGCUGCUGUAGGCU